UUUAAAUUUUAAUCGGUAAUGGGCUCUUUGCUCCUCAGCUUCCGCGUUCGGGGAAAAGCGGCUCAGUCGUUUCCGAUCUAUUGAAAAAGGCUCUUUCCACUCGGUAUUUGCAGGGCUUGUCCAAGGUAACAAUUAAUGAUGAACAUCGAUCUGAAGCUCUAACAAAUAAUCUGGAGAAAGAUUUUAAGAUGUUUGCCUCGUUAUACACAGAUAUGAAGGUGAGUUUUACUUUCUUUAAACUUUGUGGCUAACAUUAA